rnacentral:rRNA from 1 species
GCAAGUCUACUUGAAUUUUGACUUCGGUUAAAAGGAUGGUGGCGAACGGGUGAGUAACGCGUAGAUAAUCUACCCUUUAGACUGGGAUAAGCUCGGGAAACUGAGUCUAAUACCGGAUGUUAUGCUUUCUUCGCAUGGAGAGAACAUUAAAGAACUUGAUUCGCUAAAGGAUGAGUCUGCGUGGCAUUAGCUAGUUGGUGAGGUAAGAGCUCACCAAGGCAUCGAUGCCUAGCUGGUCUGAGAGGAUGAUC